GCCCAUGUGGUGUGUUUGUUUUAUUAAUUUAACCAAAAUCUUCAUUUUUAUCAUUAUUUUGUUAAUUUGAAAAGUUCAGACCGGGUACUUUUAUUUUGGUAGUCGCGCUACUUCCUCUCUGUUCGCGGCAUUCCCGUCAGUCUCUGCGGGAACGGCUGAGAGGAGGUUUGCAUACAAGUGAGACCAGCUGUGAUUUUGUUUUGCGUGUGCUGUGUGUUUUUACAGGUAUGUGAACCUUUAGUUUGACUAGAAAAAUGUUAUUGUCCUUUGCUUUUUGUGAUUUCCUUUGUAUUUAUUUUGAGCGUAAUGUAAUUUACAGUUCUGUUAUAUUUUUUUUCAAUCUUUUGUGAUUUGGAAAAUAUAAAAAAAUGCCAUUUGUUGAGGAAAAAAUGUUAAAUACUGUAAAUUCUAUGAUCACGGUGUACAUUUAUUUUAAUAUAAUUUUGAGAUGCAGAGUCUCUGCGGGAGCGGCUGAGAGGAGGUUUGCAUACAAGUGAGACCAGCUGUGAUUUUGUUUUGCGUGUGCUGUGUGCUUUUACAGAGUAAAACCUCAGUUUUGGUGGCAA